GGUUAAUAAGGUAAAGUUAAUAAGGGCGCACGGUGGAUGCCUUGGCACUAGAAGCCGAAGAAGGACGUGACAAAC
rnacentral:rRNA from 1 species